UCUUAUCAAGAGUGGUGGAGGGACAGGCCCUGUGAAACCCGGCAACCAGCAUUGCAUGGUGCCAAUUCCUGCAGAAUGAAUAAUUCUGAAAGAUGAGG
rnacentral:ncRNA from 1 species